rnacentral:lncRNA from 1 species
UUGGCCUCCCAAAGUGCUGGGAUUACAGGCAUGAGCCACCAUGCCCGGCCCAAUCAAGUUUUUAAUUCUCUAAAUAACAUUAGGAUUUGUGCUAGAACCUUUAAAAUAUUACUCAAACGAGGGCAGCAGGGAUUGGGGAUAGGAUUUCUAUUAUUUGUGCUACCUGACUAAUUCUGGAGACUUGGACCCAGACUUUGGUGGGUUGAAUCCAAAGGUGCAGGGACUUUGUGUUCCCCAAGAGGGCAGGCAGCAGAGCCCAUGUGUUCUUUAACUAACUGUGUCUUUGUGUUUGCAAUGGCAAUGGGAAAGAGGGAAAAAUUAUAAUAAUUCUUACAAUGAUUAUGUGCUGGGAUCUUUGGCUGGAAUGAUCCCUUGGAAUGAAAAGCUGAUACUAUCAUGCCUUUGCUUACAUCCCUUCAGUGGCUUGUUUUCUUUGGAGCCUGUAAAAUCAAAGUCCAAAUCCUUCCUGUGACUUAGAGUCGCCGCAGUCUGUCUCUUGUCCUCCCUACUCUAGUGUACCCAUAUUGUCCACGGAUCUCGGAAUAUGUCAUGCCUUCUCUAGUCUCAGGGUCUUUGCACAGGAAGUUCCCAUGUUAUAAAAUGCUUUUCCCCCUUCUUUUCACCUUUAUAACCUCUACUUAUCUUCCUGUUUUAUGCUAAAGUCUCUGUCAGAGAAGGCUUUCUCAAAUCCUCCAAACAAGUCAGGUCAUUUCCCCCUGUAUUUCUACGAUGCCCAUUCUCAGAGCUGAUGGCAAUCAGUAAAACUGUGUCCCUCACUGUAUGCUUACCAGUUAAAACAUUGAAGACAAUACUUUUGUAAUUGUUGAUGAUUUAUUACUGCUCUGAGCCCCCAGUGCCAAGCCCUGACCACACGGACCCUCUUUGGAACAUUCCCUUUUGCCCAUUCCCCAUUACUCCAAAAUCAAGCAACUAAAAGUUUAUUCUCUGGCACCAUAGUGGACUUUCAGACCCCUGAUCUGAGGUUACAGCCAAAAUCCAUUCUGAUUGGCCCAUAUAAUCCCUGCUCAUAUUUCUGCCUUAUGAUUAUUUGUCUCAUAAUCAUGUUAUCGAGCAGUGAUUAUUUGUGUUUUUGGUAACAUUCUAAAAUCCAGAAAGCAGGGGCGAGUUUUAGAGUAUAGUGGACCUGCAACCUGAAAUACUCAAUAUGCACUUCUGUUAACUGCUUGUGUUAUUUAAUCCUCACAACUCCAUGAGGUAAAAGUUGUCCAGCCUUUCUAUUUUACAACUGAGGCUUCAAAAGAUAAAAGAGAUCCAUGCUGAAGGGAGAGGAAAAGAAGAAGACCCCAAGGACCACAGGCCUGGGCCUGUGUUAUCCCAAUGCCAUCAUCUCAGGAUACGAUGGGAGCUGCUAGGUGUAGAGAUGGCUCUUCUUUGAAGAAACCCCCAUGAAAUGGUUUCAGGGGAGGUCACUGUGGUUAUAUCCCAGAAGAUUUGCCCUGCAAGUGAAACAGAAGCUUCUCAUGGAGAUGUGGAGGGGGCUGCCCCGCUGUGUCAGAAAGUGGAGACUCUAUGGAACCAACCCCAUUAUACUGAGAUAGGGUUGAGGCUGCUGAUGGGUCUUUACCUAUUGUAGCUUCCAUUUGUAUGGUAGGCAGCCGCUAAGAUGGCCCCAGAUAUCACUGCCUUGUGAUAGUCCUGUCUUUGUGUAAUCCACUCCCCAUGAGUGUGGGCUGGAUCUACUGGCUCUCUUCUGCUAAACAGAUGAUCGAAAAAGUGAUGAAAUGUCACUUCUAAAAUUAGGUUACACAGAGAAUGUGGUUUCUUUUUUGCUCACUCCCUCUUACUCAGGGAAACUAGCUACCUCUUUAUGUACUGCCCUAUGGAGAGGCACACAUGUCAAGAAACUGAGGGAGUGCCUUCCAGUCAACAGCCAGCCAGGAACUAAGGUGCUCAGUACAGCAGCCUCCACAAAGGACUGAACAAUGCCAACAGCUAUUUGACUGUGCUUGGAAGAUCUCCGUUUAGUUAACCCUUCAGAUGAGACCGCAGCCCUGGCCAGCAAACAAAUUGCAGCCUAUGGAAAGACCUUAAGGCAGAAGCACCCAACUGAACCACCCGAGGGCUCUGACUUACAGAAACUGUGAGCAUAUAGUGAAAUGGCCUCUACCUUAUUUUGAAUGGAUUUCUGGGAUAAAGUUCUUCAGUGAUAACAUGUUUGAAGUUUCAGGAAAGAGGCACUGGCCUUUACUUCUCCACCUCGAUUCACUUCCAUGCUGUUGACAAAUGUUAUAGUUGCCCAGGAUCAGAGGGAGAGACUGACCCUGUGACCAUUUCCCCAAAGGCGGCCUUUGGCCACUCCGUGCACUGGAGCACAUGACCCUCUGCCUCGCCCCUGCCACAUUAACCAGGUUUGGGGAGAAGAAUGGCCUGCUUAGGAGCUCAACAGUGACAGAGAGGUGAGGCCCCAAGGAUGCACUGAAGAACUGAAAGCAAAUUAGCACAUUCCUCUUCCUGCACCAUGAUGACUGAGAGUGGAGGAACGGGCAAGCCCACAUCCAGACUGGGAUUCUACUGUGAUCUUGAGAUGUGACCUUGGACAAGAUUUUUAACCUCUGAGCUUGUUUACCUUGAUUUUGAGAGUUUAAUAACACUUGCCUCUUCAGCCUUUGAAGUUCAGAUUUAGAAAAUGAACAUAAAGCAGUUACUACAGUCUCUGUAGCGUGUGACCAAUACAUGCUAUCACCGUUAUCAUCGGUCAUAGUAAUAUCAAUAUUUAAAAUAUCAUAAUUAUUUGAAAUACUUUAUUUAAAAUAUGCCUCUGUAACAUCACUUCUAAAUGAGAGAUAGCCCCUUUGUAGGAGGCCAUGAUAAGGAUGAGAUGAGAAUUCUUGUAAAGCUUUCAUCACAGGGCCUAGCAAGUAAUUAGCACUUAAUAAAUCAUAGUAACAAUGGUGAUCACCAUCAUUAUUGUUUGUACAAAGUUGAAUGGAAAAGACUAUUUUGUAGCACUUUUCACUGUAUUGUAGCAUGUGAUCAUGAAAAUUUAGACAAAGCAUAAUUUUUCGAGCUAAAAGGAGAUUAAUGAAAUUAUUCAUGGCACAUUCACACCAUUGGACACUGUUCAGCUUUAUAGUCUAUGUGCCCUUCCACCACCUGGAGAUCUUGCUAAAAUUCUCAUUUGGUAAAUCUGGGGUCAGCCCAAGAUUACGCAUUUCCAGUGGAUUCUCAAGUGAUUCCAGGGCUACCUGUCCAUGGACUCCACUUUGAGUAAACAGGAUGUACACUUUUACAAUAAAAAAUGUGUAUAUGCAUUUAUACAGAAAUAUAGAAAAAUAUUCCUAGGCUAUACUCAAGAUGGGGGACAGUGUUUUUCACCCCCUUCGCUAAACUGUACUAUCUUUCCCAGAAAUUUAAUAACAAACAUGUAAAAACAUUUAAAAAUGCAAUAAAUUUUAUUGAUGCAAGUUCUUCCCUUCUCUAAAAGUUUGUCACACAGCCAGGUUUUCCAGCACAUUCUUUGCCAGGUCUGCAUGCCUGAUGCCAUGAUUUUCUUCUAGAGCCACACUAGGCCUUUUCAGCAUCCUAACCACAAGGAAAUCACAUUAAUGCGUGCUCAUUCUGGAGGCUUCAACUCUCCAAGGAGCAGGUGGGCCCCAGCUCAGAUAUAGCUGCUGGCCAGAGUUCAGGACCCAGAGGCGUGCAGGCCAGCCAGGUGCAAGAUAGACAGUUAUUAACUCAGAGAAGCCCAGAGAGUUUCUAAAAUCUGAUUCUGGCUGCACUUGGAAAGGGCGUUCCAGUUAACAUGGCGGGGUGCUUUCUGCAGUUUAAAGGAGCUCAAGGAAGUUCCUUGUACAAAAGAGAUGGCUCCACUAGCCCUUCCUCCAAAGGGUGGCCUCAGAGAGGACCCUUGUGAUCUAAGGGUAGGUGGGUUUAAGGUUUUUCUUCCUUUUAACUCCUCUAAACGGAGACUGGGAUACUUACUUGGGUACUUGAGCCACGUAUUUAUCUUAUUCUCAUCAGACUGUUUCUGUCACUGAGAGGUUGAAAGAGGUCUGAAUGAGCAUCCAGAGACAGAAUUAGAUAGAUAGAACCUCAGUUGAAUUUUGACCUUGCCAUUUAAUAGCUAAACUGCCUUAGGUCUAAGCAGUGACUCUGUUUCCUCCUAUGGAAAAUGGAAGUAGCAAUGCUCUGGUCUCUCCAGGAUUCAAACUUAUGGAGCUAAAGAUUCUAGUUUCCAGUUAGGUAAAAGCAGGCUUGCAAAUGCCAAUACUAAUAAUUAUUAUUUUUAUUCAGUGUUCACCAUCCUUUGCACCUUAACAUACACCUUGUACCUGCCUAGAUAAGCCCCCACGCGCUGCCCACCUGAGAUCCCUGGUAUGGGGUCUCCAUCACCCCAUCCCUCUGUGUAUCAGGCAGUGGGUAGAGGAAAACAGAUACAUACAAAAACUGGGCAGUGGGAGGAGAGUUUACUAAAGGGAUAUUUAACUGAGGUGAGGGCGGGACUUGAGGAAUAAAUAACAUACAGUGGCAUGGAUAGGGGUUGAGGAGGUACAUUCCCCCCCAAGCUUCUGGCUUUCAGUAGAGAGAACAGCCAACUUGUCAAGAAGGGGGAUGCCAAGGAAUAAAUAGCCUGACUCCUGUCUUCCCACACUCCUGUGACCUCCUCAUGCUUUUGCCAAGAUCUUGGCUUGGUUU